rnacentral:rRNA from 1 species
CCUACGGGAGGCUGCAGUGAGGAAUAUUGGUCAAUGGGCGUAAGCCUGAACCAGCCAAGUCGCGUGAGGGAUGAAGGUUCUAUGGAUCGUAAACCUCUUUUAUAAGGGAAUAAAGUGCGGGACGUGUCCCGUUUUGUAUGUACCUUAUGAAUAAGGAUCGGCUAACUCCGUGCCAGCAGCCGCGGUAAUACGGAGGAUCCGAGCGUUAUCCGGAUUUAUUGGGUUUAAAGGGUGCGUAGGCGGCCUUUUAAGUCAGCGGUGAAAGUCUGUGGCUCAACCAUAGAAUUGCCGUUGAAACUGGGAGGCUUGAGUAUGUUUGAGGCAGGCGGAAUGCGUGGUGUAGCGGUGAAAUGCUUAGAUAUCACGAAGAACACCGAUUGCGAAGGCAGCCUGCCAAGCCAUGACUGACGCUGAUGCACGAAAGCGUGGGGAGCAAACAGGAUUAGAUACCCGUGUAGUC